CACGGGGGUUGCGAGCGUUGUCCGGAAUUACUAGGCGUAAAGUGCAGGUAGGCGGAUAAAUAAGUUUAAGGUUAAAGGCUACGGCUUACCCGUAGUAAGGCGUUAGAUACUGUUUAUCUGGAAUGCGGUUGAGGGAGACAGAAUUCCUGGUGUAGCGGUGGAAUGCGCAGAGAUCAGGAGGAAUACCGAAGGCGAAGGCAGUCUUCUAAGCCGAUAUUGACGCUAAACUGCGAAGGUGUGGGGAUCAAACAGGAUUAGAUACC
rnacentral:rRNA from 1 species